GAACGCCUGUCUCUAUAUGGUGUUUUAUAGCUUCAUAAAACAAGCCGUAAUAACGAUGUAAUUGCACUAAAUUCUCUUAAAACUGCUAUUUCUAAAGAAAUUAGUCAUGAAAAAAUAACGACCAMGGCGGCUAAUGUUUCACAUAYAAACUCGUUGCUUCGAAAGUUGUAUGUAAGGUUUUUGAUGUCCAUGGCGAGUAGACGUUCGAGCGGGGUUGUGUGCAUAUGGCUAAGGGGUUUACGGGAGUGUAUCCGUCAAGUCAAGGGGAGGUCAUUCGGCGGCUAAGAGUUUAUGGAACCAGAGACUAUGUCAAAAAAAGAAUCUUUGAUCAACGAGACGAUUCGAAUGCAUCUGGCGUGCUAGGAGUCACUGUGUUACAGAACUAGAAGGUUAAACUAGACCCUGAAAUGCCUUAGAGUCUAGAUGAUUGAAGACAAUAAAUGAAAUACUACYCUAA